GACGAACGCUGGCGGCGUGCCUAAUACAUGCAAGUCGAACGGUGAAGCUCCAGCUUUCUGCAGUGGAUCAGUGCCGAAAGCGUGAGUAUCACGCGAGCAAACUCUCCCUGUCACCGGAGGAAGAGCUCGAAACACCGUCUAUUAUUGCGUAUGAUAAGUUUCACCACGUGCAUUUACUGUGAAGUUGUUCGUUUGGGGAUGGUGUCGCGGCCUAUCAGCGUGUUGGUGAGGUAAUGGCGUACGAAGGCGACGACGGGUAGCCUGCAUGAGAGGGCGACCGGGCACAAUGGUACUAAGACAGGGCCCAGACGGAUACGUGAGGAAGCAGUGGAAAAUAUUGCGCAAUGGGCGAGAGCAUGAUGCAGAGACUCCGCGUGAGGGAUGACGGCUUUCGGGUUAUAAACCUCUUUCAGCAGGGAAGAAGAGAAAGUGACGGUACCUACAGAAAAAGCAACGGCUAACUACGUG
rnacentral:rRNA from 1 species